GCGAGCGAACCGGGAAGAGCUCAAAUUUGUAAUCUGGCGUCUUUAUGGCGUCCGAGUUGUAAUCUACAGAAGCGUUUUCCGCGCCGGACCGCGUCCAAGUCCCUUGAAACAGGGUAUCAAAGAGGGUGACAAUCCCGUACUUGACGCGACGACCGGGGCUAUGUGAUACGUCUUCUACGAGUCGAGUUGUUUGGGAAUGCAGCUCAAAACGGGUGGUAAAUUCCAUCUAAAGCUAAAUAUUGGCGAGAGACCGAUAGCGAACAAGUACCGUGAGGGAAAGAUGAAAAGAACUCUGGAAAGAGAGUUAAACAGUAUGUGAAAUUGUUGAAAGGGAAACGAUUGGAGUCUUAUCACGUUGGUUCGGUUCAGCUGUCUUUUGGCAGUGUACUCCGUUCCAACGGGUCAGCAUCAGUUUGGGAUGGUGGAUAAGGGCGGGGGGAACGUGGCACCUUCGGGUGUGUUAUAGCCCCUUGUCGCAUACACUGAUUCAGACUGAGGAACGCAGCUCGCCUCUUGUAGGCCGGGGUUCGCCCACGUUACGAGCUUAGGAUGCUGGCGCAAGCGCUUCAAACGACCC
rnacentral:rRNA from 2 species